GAUGAACGCUGGCGGCGUGCCUAAUACAUGCAAGUCGAGCGAACAGACGAGGAGCUUGCUCCUCUGACGUUAGCGGCGGACGGGUGAGUAACACGUGGAUAACCUACCUAUAAGACUGGGAUAACUUCGGGAAACCGGAGCUAAUACCGGAUAAUAUAUUGAACCGCAUGGUUCAAUAGUGAAAGACGGUUUUGCUGUCACUUAUAGAUGGAUCCGCGCCGGAUUAGCUAGUUGGUAAGGUAACGGCUUACCAAGGCGACGAUGCGUAGCCGACCUGAGAGGGUGAUCGGCCACACUGGAACUGAGACACGGUCCAGACUCCUACGGGAGGCAGCAGUAGGGAAUCUUCCGCAAAGGGCGAAAGCCUGACGGAGCAACGCCGCGUGAGUGAUGAAGGUCUUCGGAUCGUAAAACUCUUUUAUUAGGGAAGAACAAAUGUGUAAGUAACUAUGCACGUCUUGACGGUACCUAAUCAGAAAGCCACGGCUAACUACGUG
rnacentral:rRNA from 1 species